rnacentral:tRNA from 1 species
CGGUUAGCUCAGCUGGUUCAGAGCACCUGCCUUACAAGCAGGGGGUCACUGGUUCGAAUCCAGUACCG